rnacentral:rRNA from 1 species
UACAGAGGGUGCAAGCGUUAAUCGGAAUUACUGGGCGUAAAGCGCACGUAGGUGGUUUAGCAAGUUGGAUGUGAAAGCCCUGGGCUUAACCUGGGAACUGCAUACAAUACUACUAAGCUAGAGUAGAGUAGAGGGAAGUGGAAUUUCCGGUGUAGCGGUGAAAUGCGUAGAUAUCGGAAGGAACACCAGUGGCGAAGGCGGCUUCCUGGACUCAUACUGACACUGAGGUGCGAAAGCGUGGGGAGCAACCAGG